rnacentral:rRNA from 1 species
AUUGAACGCUGGCGGCAGGCUUAACACAUGCAAGUCGAACGAGUGGCGGACGGGUGAGUAAUGCUUGGGAAUCUAGCUUAUGGAGGGGGAUAACUACGGGAAACUGUAGCUAAUACCGCGUACCAUAGGAUGAGCCCAAGUGGGAUUAGGUAGUUGGUGAGGUAAAGGCUCACCAAGGCGACGAUCUCUAGCUGGUCUUAGAGGAUGACCAGCCACACUGGGACUGAGACACGGCCCAGACUCCGACGGGAGGCAGCAGUGGGGAAUAUUUCGCAAAGGGAGCAACCUGACGAGGCAAUGCCGCGUGCAGGAAGAAGGCCUUCGAGUUUUAAAGCUGUUUAGGUAGCGAGGCGUUAACUACAGAAGAAGCACCGGCUAACUCCGUGCCAGCAGCCGCGGUAAUUC